CUGUCUCUGACUGUCUGACUGUCUGUCUGUCUCUCUGUGUCUGUCUGUCUGUCUCUGACUGUCUGUGUCUAUCUCUGUCUGUCUGACUGUCUGUCUGACUGACUGUAAUGUUCUGUUGCCCCGUCAGGCCCACUGUAAUGUUCUGGUCCCCCGUCAGGCCCACUGUAAUAUUCUGUUGCCCCGUCAGGCCCACUGUAAUGUUCUGUUCCCCCGUCAGGCCCACUGUAAUGUUCUGUUGCCCCGUCAGGCCCACUGUAAUGUUCUGUUGCCCCGUCAGGCCCACUGUAAUGUUCUGUUGCCCCGUCAGGCCCACUGUAAUGUUCUGUUCCCC
ensembl:lncRNA